UACGUAGGGUGCGAGCGUUGUCCGGAAUUACUGGGCGUAAAGAGCUCGUAGGUGGUUUGUCGCGUUGUCCGUGAAAACUCACAGCUUAACUGUGGGCGUGCGGGCGAUACGGGCAGACUGGAGUACUGCAGGGGAGACUGGAAUUCCUGGUGUAGCGGUGGAAUGCGCAGAUAUCAGGAGGAACACCUAAGGCGAAGGCAGCUCGCUGGAACGGUACUGACGCUGAGGCGCGAAAGCGUGGGGAGCAAACAGG
rnacentral:rRNA from 1 species